rnacentral:sRNA from 1 species
UGCCAGGAUAUGUAAUACGCUAUUGAGGAAAGGGUGCUUUCUAGAAAUUAGUCCUAUUCUGGUUUUUGCCCUGUUGUCUUCUGUGUCCCUAUGCCAACUCACUGAGGACUUUGGGAUAAUAUCUUCUCCCAUUUCCACAGGUUUGUUUUUUUUUUUUUUUUUUUUUUUUUUUUAGCUUCAUAUGCCCCCAAUUAGUUGUAUCUCAUGAGGUCAUUGGCAGACUUUGUAUAAAACACUUAGUGACGAAUGUUCUAGACUGUGAGGGCUCUACAGCCUCUGUCAUAGUGCUCUUGUUGCUGUACAAAAGCUGUAGAAAACACUAAUGAAUGUGAGUGCAUUCGUUAAUUAUGAUAUAUAAGUGGCAGGUCAGUGUGAGUUCCUGCUCUCCAGCACACACCUCUUAGUGCUUGGAACCGAACAGGUCUUUUUAUCUUUUUAAUGUGUAUUUAUUUUCAUAUAUUUGUAUGUAUGUGUGUAUAUAUAUGUAUGUAUGUGUGUGUGUAUGUCAUAUGCAUGCACCACGUGUAUGUGUAUUUAUGCUGUAGCAGCUAGAAGAGAGGUCAGAUACCCAAAAUCUGGAGUUAAAGUUCAUGUAAGAUUCUAGCUGUUUCUGGAAACUAAACCUGGGGUCACUGCAAGAGUACCAAGGCUCUUAACCACUGAGCCAUCUCUCCAGCCCAUAUUUGUUUUUUAUGAUGUGGAUUGUUGUGUGCAUGCGUGCCACUGCGCAUGUGAGGAGGUCACAGGGCACUGUGUAAGAGUGGAAGUGGGUUCUUUGUUUCUUUCAAUUCUGUAAGCUUCAGACUAAGUUCCAGAGCUGAACUUAGGUCAUCAGACUCCGUGACAGAAGUGGUCUUACGUAAUCCAUGCUGGCCUUAAAUGUCUGAAAUUCCUGUCUUCACCUCCCAUUUUGGUUCGCUCUGAGCUCUCUAGUCUCAUCUUAGAAAUAAACAUUUCAGUGACUGGGAAAAGCUCAGCCACUCAAGUAUCUACCAUACAAGUAUGAAGAAGUAUGAAGACUUGAGUUUGAAGCCAUGUAAAAAGAUCUGAAUGAAGGACUGGGCAUGGUGGGUAGAGGCCAGCAAAGGCUACAUAGUGAAACUCUGUCUCAAAAAUAUAUAAUAACAAAAAUUUAAAAAGAAAUCUAGGUGUGAUAGCAUGUGUUUAUGAUAUUAAUGGUAGAAGGCAUAGACAGGUUGAUCCUGUGGCCCUCUGGACAGCUUAGCUUGAUUGGAGAGUUUCAGGUCAGCAAGAAACUGCAUAUCAACAAAAAACAAACAAAAAAACCCAAAAAACUCACCACCAACAAAGUAAAACCAGCCUGAGGUGUGAGAGGUGGCUCAGAGGUUAAAGUGCUUUCAGUUUUUGCAGAGGACCUGAUCUUGGUUCCCUAUUAGGCUUUCACAGUCACCUGCAAUCCCAGUUCCAUGGGAUUUUCUGUCUCUUCCUACCUGUGGAUGGUGCUUGAGGGUAGGAUUUUCUGUGGGUGUGCAGGUGUCUGGAUGCUGUAGGAGCUGUGACUAUCCUAGAAUUUGUUCUGUAAAGCAGGUUGGUCUUAAACUCACUGAGAUCCACUUGCUUUCUACCUCUGAAUUAAAGGAAUGUGCCACCUCCAACAGCUGUAUAGUGCAGUUUGCAGAAAGCUGAGUUGUUAAACAAGUAGCUUUCCUCUUCAAUGGAAGGGAUAUGCAUGUUGCCUGUUUUCUACCCAGAAGGCUGUGAGUGGAUACCUAAUGCUAUUCUAUGGAGCCAGCCUUUCCUUGAAUCCCCCCCAGUCCUGAGCAAUGCUCCUGAGUCAGUGGAACCAUCUUUAUCUUAUUACAAUUCCUCCAUCCCUAGGCUCUUACCAUGAACAGUUUCUCUGUCAAUGGAAGCCAAAGAUUUAUUGCGAUAGUUGUCAUCCGAAAACUUUUUCUCAAAGUUUGAUUGUGUUUAAAUAUGUAACUUGUUGUAAACUGUUAAAGAUAGCUAAGGCAUUUAAGGUAAGAGACCUUAUAA